rnacentral:misc_RNA from 1 species
GUCUAUCUUCGGGGCAGGGUGAAAAUCCCGACCGGCGGUGAUGAACUAUUUAUGAUUUUGUUCUAAGCCCGCGAGCCGUUAAGGCAGGAUUUGGUG